rnacentral:rRNA from 1 species
GACGAACGCUGGCGGCGUGCUUAACACAUGCAAGUCGAACGAAGUGGCGAACGGGUGAGUAAUACGUGGGUAACCUGCCUUUCACAGGGGAAUAACACUGGGAAACCAGUGCUAAUACCGCAUAGUGAAAGAUGGCCUCGCGCCUGAUUAGCUAGUAGGUGAGGUAACGGCUCACCUAGGUGAUGAUCAGUAGCCGGACUGAAGGUUGAUCGGCCGCAUUGGGACUGAGACACGGCCCAGACUCCUACGGGAGGCAGCAGUGGGGAAUAUUGGGCAAUGGCGCAAGCCUGACCCAGCAACGCCGCGUGAAGGAAGACGGUCUUCGGAUUGUAAAACUCUGUUGUUAGAGACGUUAGUAACUGAACGUCCCCUGACGGUAUCUAACCAGAAAGCCACGGCUAACUACGUGCCAGCAGCCGCGGUAAUAC